ACAUUAGCAACAAAACCCAAAAAAUUAAUCCAAAAAGCCCAAACAACCCCCCAUAAAAAUUGCAUCAACUUUGAUAGAAUGAGAGACCUGGACCAGAGAUUACCAUCUUCUUACAUCAUCAUCGGACCAUGAAAUCACCAUCAUCAUCUUCCAAUUCGUGAGUUUGUGAGAGAGAGGGGUCUAAUUUUGCUCUCCGAUGUUUGG
rnacentral:lncRNA from 1 species